rnacentral:rRNA from 1 species
UACAGGGGGUGCAAACGUUGCUCGGAAUCAUUGGGCGUAAAGCGCACGUAGGCGGUCUGUUAUGUCGGAUGUGAAAGCCCUUGGCUUAACUGAGGAAGUGCAUCCGAAACUGGCAGGCUAGAGUACUAAAGAGGGUCGCGGAAUUCCCGGUGUAGAGGUGAAAUGCGUAGAUAUCGGGAGGAACACCAGUGGCGAAGGCGACUACCUGGCCUGUUUCUUGACGCUGAGGCGCGAAAGCUAGGGGAGCAAACGGG